UACGGAGGGUGCAAGCGUUGUCCGGGAUCACUGGGCGUAAAGGGCGCGUAGGCGGCUCAUGAAGGCUGUGGUGAAAGUCCGGGGCUCAACCUCGGAUCGGCCGUGGCGACUCGUGGGCUGGAGCACUGUAGAGGCGGGUGGAAUUCCGGGUGUAGCGGUGGAAUGCGUAGAGAUCCGGAAGAACACCGGUGGCGAAGGCGGCCUGCUGGGCAGUAGCUGACGCUGAGGCGCGACAGC
rnacentral:rRNA from 1 species